AGCUGCGCGGUGCGCACAGAGCGAACUAUUCUUUCGCCUUUUACUAAAGAAUACCGUGUGCGCGCGGCAAAUAGCAGCAUACGCCUAUUUUUGGAGGGUGCCUCGCCUAUUUUUGGAGGGU